GUGUGUGUGUGUGUGUGUGUGUGUGUGUGUGUGUGUGUGUGUGUGUGUGUGUGUGUGUGUGUGCGUGCGCGCGUGCACAGGAAGGAUGUGUGUAAAUAUACAGGCCAGAAUUUGAAUAGUCCUUUUCGACCCAUCUUUAGUUUUUUGUUUUGUCUUUAAAUUCCGGGAAUAUCUCAAUCCAAAUUUGUGAACAAACAAAUUACUUUACACGAAACUCACGUUUAGGAUUUGUGAUGUCCUUCAGUAUCUGGAAGCCCGACCAUUGGCUGUGCAGGAAACAUUACAUAUAUACUCCACUGACCUGACUCAAGUAAUUGAAUAACGGGCAUUGAGUUUCAUUACAAUGAUUGAUGUCAACAUUUAUUUAUAAUGCCACAAAGGUGUAAAUCUUUUGUUUUGAUUUUAGUUUACGGUUGAAUGUCGACUUUUGGGAGAACCGUGGGAUACUUAUGAACUACUCAGUUUGUUCUAAUUGCGGUGAAAGAACUCUUCUAUUCCACCUGAAAAACUUUUUUUUGCUGAUUAUUUUCUUUUUCCAUUUCUUUCCAAUUAAUUUGCCGUUUUGUUGAUUUUGGAGAAUUUAAUUUAGAUUUGGCAAUAAUUGCCGCUCAACAAAUAGAAGGUCUAGAUCUUGGCUGGGCUGAGCUGGUAUUGAAAAGCUUGGGAAGGAGGCUGAAAGUGAAAGAUGGUGGAUGUUUGGAAUGUGUUGACGUGAAGCCGCUUUUGUCUGUGCAAGGAAGCAUACACACAAAAGUCUAAACCCUGAACCCUCAGCACUUUGGGCACUGGCACUAUUGUGACAUAGCAUAACAUACUUUAUCAUUCUAGAUUUAUUUUAAGCUUCCUAGCAUUCUCUUUCGCAUGCCCUAGCAUUUUCUUAAAAUAGAUUAUACAUUUGUUUUGUUUUUUCUGGGAGGGUGAUCGGAACAUAAAAAAAAUGCAUAUAACAUUUUAGAGAAUAGGUUAUAUUAUUUUUGGACUAUAAAAGUCUUUAUAAAAUCUAUUCUUCACAAUUUCUAAAUCACUGUUGAACGUAUGAGCGGGAGGGUGGGAACGAGGCAGCGUUUAUCGUCUACUGUAAACGGUGGUGUGUGUGAGUGUAUAUACUGUAUCUGUGUAACAUAUUGUAUAUUAAUUAUGCCUGGUGCGAGCGUGUGUGUUUAGGGUGAGGGGUCGAAUGGAAAGGGGGAUUCUUGUACACACACUCUAGCUCAGGGGCUAGGGGUGUAGAAUGAGUGUCGAUGUGUUUGGCCUUUUCUGGACAGCCAACUGCUGACCAAGAAGGGCACGCUGGCUUUAUUAUACGGCCGUAAACCACAAGAGAGCAUAUUCUAUUUAUUUGGAAGAAGUAUGUAAACUAAUGAGUUUUAAUGUACUGUAGGAGAGCUGACCGUUUAGCAAUGGACACAUGAAGAAUCAUUCAAUCAGAAGAACCUGUUCGUGAAAUGCUGAUUCUGAACUGUUGGAUUUUUCUUUUUCUUGAAAAUUUUCUUUCCCUCUCAAAUAAAACUGAGCAAAAUAAAGUA
ensembl:lncRNA